UACGGAGGAUGCGAGCGCUAUCCGGAUUUAUUGGGUUUAAAGGGUGCGUAGGCGGAUCGUUAAGUCAGUGGUCAAAUUGAGGGGCUCAACCCCUUCCCGCCAUUGAAACUGGCGCUCUUGAGUGGAAGAGAAGUAUGCGGAAUGCGUGGUGUAGCGGUGAAAUGCAUAGAUAUCACGCAGAACCCCGAUUGCGAAGGCAGCAUGCCGGCUUCCGACUGACGCUGAAGCUCGAAAGCGUGGGGAGCAAACAGG
rnacentral:rRNA from 1 species